CCGAGUCAAUCGACCACACCUCGCACCCCCAUCUGGAUCCGCCGCCUCCCCACCGCCGGCCCGCAUCGUCCGUCGCGCCCUCCUCCCCGUGUCUCCGAGUCCUCCGCGUGCAGCUUGCCGACGCCGAGGCCCAGGCCGCCGCGCUCCGGGAUCGCGCCGGCCGUCUCGAGCGCGUGCCGCCGACUGCGACGGGCUGCUCGGCACACUCCGCGCCGCCACGGGCAACAGGUGGUAGGACGAGGAGAGGGUGGUGGAGACAGCGGAGGAGCUGGUAGGAGGAGGAGGAGAGGAAGGUGGAGGCGGCAGAGGAGCCAGUAGGAGUACGAGAGGGAGGUGGAGGCGGCGGAGGAGGGGACGGGGAUGACGGGGACAGAUCGGACUACACACCGGAGGACGAGGGCUUCACACCGCCUACCGAUUCCUUCUUCCUCGCGUCCCGGUUACAUGGCCGUCGCUGCAGUCGCCCAACAUCGACCACCUUGCCCCGAUUAGCUCUUGGAUACGCGGACGACCGGAUGUGCUCCAGCGCGGCCGCCUAUGGGCUUCUCCCACGAUGAAUCGACAACUAAGCUCGGGGACGUGAUAUGGUGCUCGGUGUAGGUGGCCAUGGUGGUCCUGAAGCUGGCUUAGAUAAGCGAUGGGAUCGAGCGGCGGCGCUCCCUAUCUGAUCGGGAGCAGGACGACGACGGCGAGCACAUGGCGGACGAGAGGAGCAGGAGGGGAGGCGCGGAGGCAGGGCCAUAUGCGUCGGACGCGCGCGUUCGUCCGCAGUCAACGCGGACACAGCGGCCGUCCAUGGCGGCUUGGGUCGAUGUAGGAGGACGAGGGGAGGAGCUCGCGAGGCCCGGCACCGGUAAUGGAGCGGAGGCGGCUGGAUCUGGCGAUUCUAGAGGGGCUGGCGACGAGCGGCUCCAUGGGCGGCGACCUGCGGGGUUCAAGCGGCGGCUGAAGGUAUGAGCGAUCUGGUUUCCCCUUUUGUUGUUCUAUACGAGGAUGAUCCAGAUGCCUUUUGGUGUUUUGAGAUGCUACUGAGAAGGAUGCGUGAAAAUUUCCAUCUCGAGGGACCGACAGGAGUUAUGAAGCGGUUGGAAGCAUUGUGGAAGAUCAUGAAAUUGACAGAUACGGAACUAAUAAACUGGUAAGGAUCAAACAGGCAAAUGGAGUCCUAAUUUUCUAUUGGAAGUUCACAUGACAUGGUUCUAUGUUUGAGGCUUCAACAGACUGCGUAUGCCUCAAGAUUUGAGGUGUGAGUGUGCGACUUGAUUUUCUGUGUUGUUACAGUUAAUCGGUAAUGGAUAAAUCAAAUUUUGUUA